UUGGCCAUGUCCAUUCACAUCUGGCUCCCACGGCCUUACCCAACCCCCUUGCAGUGCCCAGUUCCCUGUGGCAGAAGGGUAUCCCAGCACACCCUGGAAAAUGUUCUCAUCUGUGAUCCGUUAUAGAUGAGGGUGCUGGGAAGGCUUCUCCAUCAGCUUGGAUAAAUAAAGUUUUGAAGCCCUUGGAGCCUCCUGAUGGUAUGUUCUCAGUGUGCCACCAAGGAAGAAUUGUAGACAAGCGGGCAGGAACCAGGUGACAGAAGCUUCUGUGGCUGUUGUGUUACAGAUGUGUCUACAGGGAGGACUUCUCCAGCUCCUACCUUGGAUGCUGCACUCAAGCCCAGCUCCCGUCACAGGGGUGCUCCAACAGGGAAAAUCCAAGAUACAACAGAUAAGAUAUCCCUGGAACCAUCCAAACAGAUGAGGCAAGAGCUGAAGGAACUCCUGCAGACAAGACAAGGAGCACCUCUGGACAGGAGUUGGAAGACGGUGGCUGCACCUCACACCCAGACAGCGUGAGCUGCUUCUCCCACAGUAAUAACG